UACGUAGGGCGCAAGCGUUAUCCGGAAUUAUUGGGCGUAAAGAGCUCGUAGGCGGUUUGUCGCGUCUGCUGUGAAAACUCGGGGCUUAACCCCGGGCCUGCAGUGGGUACGGGCAGACUAGAGUGCGGUAGGGGAGACUGGAAUUCCUGGUGUAGCGGUGAAAUGCGCAGAUAUCAGGAGGAACACCGGUGGCGAAGGCGGGUCUCUGGGCCGAUAUUGACGCUGAGGAGCGAAAGCGUGGGGGAGCAAACAGG
rnacentral:rRNA from 1 species